rnacentral:misc_RNA from 1 species
UGGGAUACUGAACAGAAGAGGGAAGGCAUUGGAGGUCCAAGUGGAGUCUGUAAAGGCUUUAAUGCAAGACCUUAAGGCUGAGGCCUCAUUUUUUGAUGCUACAGCUUCUGAGGCAGCGGAAGGUCUUGUGGAGAUAAGAGAAGACUAUGUUGAGGAAACUUCUCCUAAAGAGGCAUCUAUGAUAGGUAUUGUGGAACCCGAGCUUCCUAUUUCUUCUCAAGCUGAAGAUGUAUCUCAUGUCAAAGAUGAGGAAUAUGAUCGCAUAUUUUCCCGACUCGCUGAACUCGAAAAGGAAGAAGAAGAAGCUGAACAUGCCAAUCAAGAAGAGAUAGGUAGUGAUGACUCGGAUGUCAGCCCAGGUCAUGUUAUCUUAGAAGAAGAAAUGAAAAGUUUAGAGCUCGAGGAAAGAGGUAAAUCUUCAAGAAUUCAGUCCACUGAAAAGUUUCCUGAUCACUGGCAUGUUGAAGGUUCAAAAGCAACAUCUAAAGAUUGCAUUGUACCAGAAAACUGCUUACCUGAGAAUCUAGCUUAUGGAAAGUUCAAUUUGACUGAGAAUGCUCCCAUGGAACCUCAAGCGGAAGAGGAUGUUAAGGCUCCUGUUAUAGCGGAGACCAAAGCUGAGGCUCAUCCCUCUGAACCACAAUUCGACAGCAGUAAGGCUUUUACUGGUAGUAUCGUAGAACACAAUAGUGAUGUUAAUUCGAAGGUGCAAUCUGUCAGUCGCAGCUCGAAGCCAGUAUCAAGGUUCAAGAUGCAGAGAAAGUAGCUGCAAUUAGUAGAUUGUUAGCUCAGCUUCAAGAUGUAGAGAAAGUAGAAUUGCAAAGGGAACUGCUUAUAUUCCAAAACAAUCUAUACUCUGUUGAGAGUGCUAAUUGUUUGUUCACAAAUACAAUUUACACUCAUCACAUUGAUCUAGUGCUGGCUAUUUGGCUAGAAUGAAUGAAGAUACAAAACUAUUAAGCUUUCCUGUACACAUUUUUGAAAAAAAAAUAUGAAAAAGAGGCAACUGUACAGACUAAAUGUUACAAGUCAAUGAAAAGAAAGUUUCAACCAUUAG